CCCAUCAAUUUAAACCCAAAAAUAAAUUUAAUUUUUUUUUCUUUUUUUCUUUUGGGUGUUUUGUAUAUAUUCCCCGUUGGUGGAGGAAUGCUUGUCACCUACUCAUAUUGUAGCUUCCAAUCUCCACUUUCUCUCUCCUCUCUCUCUCACACACACACUAACUUUUGUGCAAAAAAACUCUCCACACCUCACGCAAAGUUCACCCCCUUCCCUUACUCAUAGAAAAAGUGCAAAUUUUACUUCUUUCUACUAAAAAAAGCUUAUUCUUAGUUUAGUUUUACUUCAUUUCCCCUGUUUUUUUUAUGCUUACAAAAUGGAGAGGCAAAGGUGUAAGCUUUGUUAUAGGAAGUUUGCUAAUGGGAGAGCUUUAGGAGGCCACAUGAGGUCUCACAUGAUGAAUCUACCAAUCCCUCCUAAACCCGACCCGCCGCGCCCGCUACCACCACCACCAAAAAAACUACAAACACCCAGUUGUGAAACCGUGUCGGAAACCGAGUCACCCUCAUCGCCACCUUUCUCUUCCUCCUCGUCAUCGGGUUCUGAACGCGAUGCAGUAGCUGAGCCGACCGGAUCAUCCUCACUCAUUACGCUACAAGAUAGAGAAAGCGAGACUGAGUCGUUUAAGAAGAAUCCAACUCGGAAGCGGCGAUCCAAGCGGAUUAUUUCAAAACCAUCUUCUUCAACUACUUCGUCGGAAUAUCACUUUCAACGACGACAUUACCGCCAUCUGAAUGAGUAUGAUCCUGACGAUUUCAUCAUCAACAACAAUAACAACAACUCAGCCGAGGAGGCUGCGGCGGUGGAAGCACCGGGAAGUUCGGUGUCGGAGGUGACUUCCGAUGAAGACUUAGCCUUCUGCCUUAUGAUGAUGUCACGUGACAAGUGGAACGACGACUGUGAUAUUGGUACAACACGAACAACAACCACAACCCGAACUAGUAACAAGAAGAGAUACAAGUGUGAUACUUGUAACAAAGUUUUCAAAUCUUACCAAGCAUUAGGUGGUCACAGAGCGAGUCACAAGAAACAACGCCUUCGCGAUGACGGCAACGACAGAAUAAUUAGUUAUCUUUACGAAGAAGACGAAAGAUUGGAGGAAGAACUGGAGAAGAAGGUUCAUGAAUGUCCAGUUUGUUACAGAGUGUUUGCUUCAGGACAAGCUCUUGGUGGGCAUAAGAGAUCUCAUGUUCUUGCUAACAACAACACUAAUUCUCCUAAGAAGAGUAAGAAGAUGGUUAUUACUGAUAAUGAGAGUUUGAUUGAUCUUAAUCUUCCUGCUCCGGUUGACGACGAUGAUGAUUCAGCUGUUUCGGAUGUUCAUUUCUGAUCAGAAUUAAAUAGAAAAAAGAAAAGUCAAAAGAUUUGAAAAUACAAGAUUUCAAAGUACAAGAUUUGAAGUUGGGUUAAAAGUUCAUAACGAGAUCAAAUAACGAACAACAUACGGGAUAUUAUGACAGAGUCAGUAACUGGGCGACAACAACUUGAUUCACUAACCUCGAGAGGCGGACGUCUACUCCAACAGUUUAUUGUAGAUAACUGUGUCAAAAUGCAAGCCAAUAAUUUGAGGUGGAUUGCACUCAACCAAGAUAAGAUACGUGAUGAUUUAUACAAGGGUUUAGAAGAUUAUUUAAAUGUUAGAAAGCAUAAGUGAGAUUCUGAUUUUUUCGUUGAGAUAUGUUAGUUGUAACAAAAUAAUUUUAACUUUAAUUCAUACUUUCGCACACAUCGCGUGCAUAUAAGA